rnacentral:piRNA from 1 species
UAGAAUAAAAUAGCAAGAGAACCAGAGGUC